UGGGGAAUUUUGGACAAUGGGCGAAAGCCUGAUCCAGCAAUGCCGCGUGUGUGAAGAAGGCCUUCGGGUUGUAAAGCACUUUUGUCCGGAAAGAAAUCCUUGGCUCUAAUACAGUCGGGGGAUGACGGUACCGGAAGAAUAAGCACCGGCUAACUACGUGCCAGCAGCCGCGGUAAUACGUAGGGUGCAAGCGUUAAUCGGAAUUACUGGGCGUAAAGCGUGCGCAGGCGGUUUGCUAAGACCGAUGUGAAAUCCCCGGGCUCAACCUGGGAACUGCAUUGGUGACUGGCAGGCUAGAGUAUGGCAGAGGGGGGUAGAAUUCCACGUGUAGCAGUGAAAUGCGUAGAGAUGUGGAGGAAUACCGAUGGCGAAGGCAGCCCCCUGGGCCAAAUACUGACGCUCAUGCACGAAAGCGUGGGGAGCAAACAGGAUUAGAUACCCUGGUAGUCCACGCCCUAAAACGAUGUCAACUAGUUGUUGGGGAUUCAUUUCCUUAGUAACGUAGCUAACGCGUGAAGUUGACCGCCUGGGGAGUACGGUCGCAAGAUUAAAACUCAAAGGAAUUGACGGGGU
rnacentral:rRNA from 1 species